rnacentral:rRNA from 1 species
UACGGAGGGCGCUAGCGUUGUUCGGAAUUACUGGGCGUAAAGCGCGCGUAGGCGGCUUUGUAAGUUAGAGGUGAAAGCCCGGGGCUCAACUCCGGAAUUGCCUUUAAGACUGCAUCGCUUGAAUCCGGGAGAGGUGAGUGGAAUUCCGAGUGUAGAGGUGAAAUUCGUAGAUAUCGGGAGGAACACCAGUGGCGAAGGCGGCGAUCUGGGAAGAUACUGACGCUGAGGUGCGAAAGCGUGGGGAGCAAACAGG